CCUACGGGGGGCAGCAGUGGGGAAUAUUGCACAAUGGGGGAAACCCUGAUGCAGCGACGCCGCGUGAGUGAAGAAGUAUUUCGGUACGUAAAGCUCUAUCAGCAGGGAAGAAAAUGACGGUACCUGACUAAGAAGCCCCGGCUAACUACGUGCCAGCAGCCGCGGUAAUACGUAGGGGGCAAGCGUUAUCCGGAUUUACUGGGUGUAAAGGGAGCGUAGACGGCAGCGCAAGUCUGGAGUGAAAUCCCAUGGCUUAACCAUGGAACUGCUUUGGAAACUGUGCAGCUAGAGUGCAGGAGAGGUAAGCGGAAUUCCUAGUGUAGCGGUGAAAUGCGUAGAUAUUAGGAGGAGCACCAGUGGCGAAGGCGGCUUACUGGACUGUAACUGACGUUGAGGCUCGAAAGCGUGGGGAGCAAACAGGAUUAGAUACCCCAGUAGUC
rnacentral:rRNA from 1 species